rnacentral:rRNA from 1 species
AUUGAACGCUGGCGGCAUGCCUUACACAUGCAAGUCGAACGGCAGCACGGGGCAACCUGGUGGCGAGUGGCGAACGGGUGAGUAAUGUAUCGGAACGUGCCAUUGAGUGGGGGAUAACGUAGCGAAAGUUACGCUAAUACCGCAUAUACCCUGAGGGGGAAAGCAGGGGAUCGCAAGACCUUGUGCUCUUUGAGCGGCCGAUAUCAGAUUAGCUAGUUGGUGAGGUAAAGGCUCACCAAGGCGACGAUCUGUAGCGGGUCUGAGAGGAUGAUCCGCCACACUGGGACUGAGACACGGCCCAGACUCCUACGGGAGGCAGCAGUGGGGAAUUUUGGACAAUGGGCGCAAGCCUGAUCCAGCCAUGCCGCGUGAGUGAAGAAGGCCUUCGGGUUGUAAAGCUCUAUCGGCCGGGAAGAAAUCGUACAGGUUAAUACCCUGUGUGGAUGACGGUACCGGAAUAAGAAGCACCGGCUAACUACGUGCCAGCCGCCGCAGUAACAC